rnacentral:misc_RNA from 1 species
ACACACACACACACACACACUCUACUAAGUUGGCAGCAAUGUUAGCCAUGCACAAUUUGUUGUCCACAUGAAAGAAUAUCCUAGCUUCAAAAAUAAUACAUAUGUAGAACACUACUAAUGUAAACAAUAUCCAAAGUUACAAAUGUGAAUUUAUUGGUUUAAUCAAACAGGGGUCAUCAGGCUGGAAGGACAAGAGUGAAAAUUCACAUCUUGAGACCAGCCAAUUCAGGCAAAAAGAAUACAAAAUCUUAAAUAAUCCCUAUAUUCCACCCAACUCAUUUAAGAUUGAGAUUAUGUUAAGUGUUAAGAGAUCUGGUAAAACCUAGUGCAAUAUUUCAUUGUAGGAGAAAAAUAUGCAAUUUAAAGUCAUAUGCUACAAUCUGGAAAUCUGGAUCCAAUUGAUAAAUUAUGCCACAGAACCUAAGAAACUGUGGCUGAGCAUCUAGUUUAGAAGUCUAAAUACAUAUCAGGUCAAAUCUAUGCAGCAGGAUCUUUCAGCAGUUCUACUAAUUUCUGAGGAUACAAGACUCAUCAACACACCACUAAAGCCAUGCCCUUUCCAAAAUUAUUUAGCUUUGCAAUUAAAACCCCAACUAAAAAAAAGUAUUUUCAUUGAACACCAUGCUAUAGAAGAUACUAUACAGUUUCAGCAUUAAUAUUGGUAGCAAACAAGGUUGUGAGAGCCAGCAAUAUUCAGGAUGUUCAUUGAAAAAGUUCCUAAGAAAACACAAUGACUAGCAAUAUUACUAAUACAACAGGCACGAACUGGUAAUCUUUGAAAUAGAUCAGUUACAUGCAACCAGUAACAAUACUUAAAGAUAGUAAAGUACAAAAUCAUUGAGUGUACCUUAGCCCAGAGUGCCAUCUCCA